CUCAGAACGAACGCUGGCGGCGUGGAUAAGACAUGCAAGUCGAACGGGAGAAUUGCUAGCUUGCUAAUAAUUCUCUAGUGGCGCACGGGUGAGUAACACGUGAGUAACCUGCCUCUUAGUGGGGGAUAGCCCUGGGAAACCGGGAUUAAUACCGCAUACGAUUGAAAGAUCAAAGCAGCAAUGCGCUAGGAGAUGGGCUCGCGGCCUAUUAGUUAGUUGGUGAGGUAACGGCUCACCAAGGCGAUGACGGGUAGCCGGUCUGAGAGGAUGUCCGGCCACACUGGAACUGAGACACGGUCCAGACACCUACGGGUGGCAGCAGUCGAGAAUCAUUCACAAUGGGGGCAACCCUGAUGGUGCGACGCCGCGUGGGGGAAUGAAGGUCUUCGGAUUGUAAACCCCUGUCAUGUGGGAGCAAAUUAAAAAGAUAGUACCACAAGAGGAAGAGACGGCUAACUCUGUGCCAGCAGCCGCGGUAAUACAGAGGUCUCAAGCGUUGUUCGGAAUCACUGGGCGUAAAGCGUGCGUAGGCUGUUUCGUAAGUCGUGUGUGAAAGGCAGGGGCUCAACCCCUGGAUUGCACAUGAUACUGCGAGACUAGAGUAAUGGAGGGGGAACCGGAAUUCUCGGUGUAGCAGUGAAAUGCGUAGAUAUCGAGAGGAACACUCGUGGCGAAGGCGGGUUCCUGGACAUUAACUGACGCUGAGGCACGAAGGCCAGGGGAGCGAAAGGGAUUAGAUACCCCUGUAGUCCUGGCAGUAAACGGUGCACGCUUGGUGUGCGGGGAAUCGACCCCCUGCGUGCCGGAGCUAACGCGUUAAGCGUGCCGCCUGGGGAGUACGGUCGCAAGAUUAAAACUCAAAGAAAUUGACGGGGACCCGCACAAGCGGUGGAGUAUGUGGCUUAAUUCGAUGCAACGCGAAGAACCUUACCUGGGCUUGACAUGUAAUGAACAACAUGUGAAAGCAUGCGACUCUUCGGAGGCGUUACACAGGUGCUGCAUGGCCGUCGUCAGCUCGUGUCGUGAGAUGUUUGGUUAAGUCCAGCAACGAGCGCAACCCCUGUUGCCAGUUACCAGCACGUCAAGGUGGGGACUCUGGCGAGACUGCCCAGAUCAACUGGGAGGAAGGUGGGGACGACGUCAGGUCAGUAUGGCCCUUAUGCCCAGGGCUGCACACGUACUACAAUGCCCAGUACAGAGGGGGCCGAAGCCGCGAGGCGGAGGAAAUCCUGAAAACUGGGCCCAGUUCGGACUGUAGGCUGCAACCCGCCUACACGAAGCCGGAAUCGCUAGUAAUGGCGCAUCAGCUACGGCGCCGUGAAUACGUUCCCGGGUCUUGUACACACCGCCCGUCACAUCAUGGAAGCCGGUCGCACCCGAAGUAUCUGAAGCCAACCGCAAGGAGGCAGGGUCCUAAGGUGAGACUGGUA
rnacentral:rRNA from 1 species